rnacentral:rRNA from 1 species
GGUUCAGAUUAAACGCUGGUGGCGUACCUAAUACAUGCAAGUCAAACGGGUUACUUCGGUAACUAGUGGCGAGCGGGUCAGUAAUACAUGGGUGACGUACCUUUUACACUGGGAUAAUAGUUCUAACGGACUACUAAUACCAGAUAGCACCUCGGUUUAGAUAUCGAAGGUUAAAGCGGGGGAUCGAAAGACCUCGCGGUGAAAGAGCGGCUCAUGACCUAUCAGCUAGUUGGUGAGGUAAAGGCUCACCAAGGCGAUGACGGGUAGGCGGAUUGAGAGAUUGACCGCCGACAUUGGAACUGAGACACGGUCCAGACUCCUACGGGAGGCAGCAGUAGGGAAUCUUGCACAAUGGGCGAAAGCCUGAUGCAGUGACGCCACGUGAGUGAUGAAGGUCUUAGGAUUGUAAAGCUCUUUAGUCUAGGAAAAAGAGACGUGAUUGAAAGGUUACGUUUCUGAUGGUACUAGAAGAAUAAGCACCUGCUAACUCCGUGCCAGCAGCAGCGGUAAUACGGAGGGUGCGAGCGUUAAUCGGAAUUAUUGGGCGUAAAGGGCGCGUAGGCGGAUUUUUAAGUCGGGUGUUUAAGACCAGAGCUCAACUCUGGAAAAGCAUUCGAUACUGGAAGUCUAGAGUAUCGGCGGAGAAAAUGGAAUUCCUGGUGUAACGGUGAAGUGUGUUGUUAUCAGGAAGAACAUCAAGAGCGAAGGCAGUUUUCUAGCCGAUAACUGACGCUGAGGCGCGAAAGCGUGGGAGCAAACAGGAUUAGAUACCCUGGUAGUCCACGCCCUAAGCUUUGUGUACUUGAUGUGGGUGACUAGAUUGCCCGCGUCGGAGCUAACGCGUUAAGUACACCGCCUGGGGAGUACGGCCGCAAGGUUAAAACUCAAAGGAAUUGACGGGGGCCCGCACAAGCAGUGGAGCAUGUGGUUUAAUUCGAUACGACGCGAAAAACCUUACCCAGCCUUUUCACUAUAUAUAAGUUUGCAGAGAUGCAGAUGCUACGGAUAUAGUGUUAGGUGCUGCAUGGCUGUCGUCAGCUCGUGCCGUGAGGUGUUGGGUUAAGUCCCGCAACGAGCGCAACCCUUAUCAUUUGUUACCAGCACGUAAAGGUGGGGACUCUAAUGAGACUGCCGAGGUUAACUCGGAGGAAGGUGAGGAUGACGUCAAGUCCGCAUGGCCCUUAUGGCUGGGGCUACACACGUGCUACAAUGGCCGGUACAAUAGGUUGCGAAGCCGCGAGGUGAAGCUAAUCCUAAAAACCGGUCUCAGUUCGGAUUGGAGUCUGCAACUCGACUCCAUGAAGCUGGAAUUGCUAGUAAUGGCGAGUCAGCACAUCGCCGUGAAUACGUUCCCGGGCCUUGUACACACCGCCCGUCACACCAUGGAAGUUGUUAACGCCCGAAGUACGUGACCCAACCCGCAAGGGAGGGAGCGGCCUAAGGUGAGAGCGAUGACUGGGGUGAAGUCGUAACAAGGUA